UGGGGGUUCUGCUGGUUCUCUUGCUGGUGGCUGCAGGUGCUCUAAGAUGUCACUUCCGGCACUCUUUCACGUCAGUCUGUCAGGUGGAGGUGGAAGAGGGGGCGGAGUCUGUCCUGUUACCAUUCACAACAACACCUAGGCUGCCCGGAGAUGCAGUAGUGCAGUGGUGGGAGGGAGAAGACACGGUGGUCCAUAUGUAUCAGAAAAACUCUGACCUGAAUGAGAUGCAGAACCAUCUUUACAGAAACAGAACACAGAUUAAUGAAGACCUGGUAAAAACUGGAGACAUCAGCCUGACUCUGAGACGUCCCACAGUGAGAGACAGUGGACGGUACAGAUGUGAAGUUUAUGGCCACAAGGAAAAGCUGAGAGAGAAAACGGUUCUGCUCAAAGUUAAAGAGAGAAGACCGGUCCAUGAAAGUGCUCUGUUGAUCCAAUCUGAAGUUUGAUCAGAGAGAACAUCUCAGUGAAGGAUCUGAUGGAUGAAGAGGACACGACUCCUUCCUCCAGACUCAGUAUUGAUCAGUCCAACCUCUGCAGCUGUUUUAUUCAUAAAGUAUCUGUUUAUACAGGAAGUGUUUAUAUUAAUUGUACUGAUGAGGAUGUUUGGAGGUCAUAUGAACUGAUGGAACUGAUGAUGGUAAUAUUCAGUUUUCUAUUCUUAGUAGGCUGAUUAAAUCAUUGGGUUGCUCAAAAUCAUCUGGUACUGUUACUGAGAGACUGAAAUGAAAUAAAAAGGAUCUAGAGCCUAAAAAACACCUGGUUUACCAUGAAACAUGGUACAAGUUCUCCACCAUGAUGAAUGUAUGCCUUCCAGCAUCAGCUGCCAUUUUCUACCCCAGGAUAGUCUGCAACUACAACUCCCAGCAGGAAUUGCAGCUGAUAGGAAGCGGGCGUCGCAGCUCUGACGUCACAGUGGACUAUAUAAUAAUAUGAGGUCUCCCUCAUCUUUGCUUUUCACGCUGGAAAUCGGACCGGUAUCUGGCAACUGAAGCACAUCAUUCUGGAGAAGAAAAUCCCACGUGAACUUUCAUUCAUUCUCCCCUGUUGGCCAACGAGAAGAAAAUUCAUGAAAGACGUUUCUGGAAUAGGAAGGCCAGAAACUUCACUUUACCAAUCGAAGACGUGAGCUUAACACGUAACAGAAGAAAAACCCCACGGAGGUUUCAAGGAGACGGAAUUGCCAUUCUUGUUCUUGUUCUACUCAUAUCUUCCCGUUUCGCCAACGGAGGCCAGAGGACGAAGACUGACCGCUCUCCUGACGAGUUAAUCGCGGACGCGCAACAACUCCCCCCUUCUCUCUCUUCCCCCUUCUUCACAGAAGACGACACCAAAUAAUCCCGUUUUGUUUUAUUUCUAUUAGAAAUAGCUUGGGCAGGAUAGAGGAGGAUUUUAGAGCGAUUUAGAAUCGCCACUUAUAGUCCAAUGUGUUCUAAGUUGAAUGUGCAUAAAAUGUCUUAUUGAAACUUUGAUUGCUGUUGGACUCUGAAAGCUGCUGUGCUUUCAAGCUGUGCGCGUCUCAUUGUUUUGU